AUGGCGAAAUGCGGGCUGCUGCUCCUGUUCUUGGCGUUCCUCUUGCCGGCGGCACGUGCAACGUCGUGCCACCCCGAUGACCUCCGUGCGCUACGGGGCUUCGCCGGAAACCUCAGCGGUGGGGCUGCCCUCCUCCGUGCUGCCUGGUCCGGUGCCUCCUGCUGCGUCUGGGAAGGCGUGAACUGCGAUGGCACUAGCGGCCGUGUCACGGCGCUGCGGCUCCCUGGGCACGGCCUCGUGGGGCUCAUCCCAGGAGCAUCCUUGGCAGGCCUUGCACGGCUAGAGGAGCUCAACCUUGCCAACAACAAACUGGUCGGCACCAUCCCAUCAUGGAUUGGCGAGCUUGAUCACCUUUGCUACUUGGAUCUGUCGGAUAAUUCAUUGGUUGGCGAGGUACCCAAGAGUUUGAUACGGCUCAAGGGUCUUGUCAUCGCUGGUCAUUCACUAGGUAUGGUUUUUACUAACAUGCCAUUGUAUGUGAAGCGUAAUAGAAGAACACUCGACGAACAACCAAAUACAAUAUCUGGGAGCAACAACACUGUCAGAUCUGGGAGCACCAACGUUGUUUCUGGGAAUGACAACACUGUCAUAUCCGGGAAUAACAACAAUGUGGCUGGGAGCAACAACACUGUCAUAACCGGGAACGACAAUACCGUAACUGGUAGCAACCAUGUUGUAUCUGGGGACAAACAUAUCGUGACUGACAAUAACAAUGCCGUAUCCGGGACAAUAAUGUAUCCGGGAGCUUCCAUACCGUAUCCGGGAGCCACAAUACUGUAUCUGGGACCAACAACACUGUAUCUGGGAGCAACCAUGUCGUAUCUGGGAGCAACAAGGUCGUAG
rnacentral:rRNA from 1 species